rnacentral:rRNA from 1 species
AUUGAACGCUGGCGGCAUGCUUUACACAUGCAAGUCGAACGGUAACAGGCCGCAAGGUGCUGACGAGUGGCGAACGGGUGAGUAAUGCAUCGGAACGUGCCCAGUCGUGGGGGAUAACGCAGCGAAAGCUGUGCUAAUACCGCAUACGAUCUAUGGAUGAAAGCGGGGGACCGUAAGGCCUCGCGCGAUUGGAGCGGCCGAUGUCAGAUUAGGUAGUUGGUGGGGUAAAGGCCUACCAAGCCGACGAUCUGUAGCUGGUCUGAGAGGACGACCAGCCACACUGGGACUGAGACACGGCCCAGACUCCUACGGGAGGCAGCAGUGGGGAAUUUUGGACAAUGGGCGCAAGCCUGAUUCAGCAAUGCCGCGUGCAGGAAGAAGGCCUUCGGGUUGUAAACUGCUUUUGUACGGAACGAAACGGCCUGGGUUAAUACCCUGGGCUAAUGACGGUACCGUAAGAAUAAGCACCGGCUAACUACGUGCCAGCCGCCGCCGUAAUAC